rnacentral:rRNA from 1 species
UAGUGGCGAACGGGUGAGUAACACGUGGGCAAUCUGCCCUUCACUCUGGGACAAGCCCUGGAAACGGGGUCUAAUACCGGAUACCACUCCUGCCCGCAUGGGUGGGGGUUGAAAGCUCCGGCGGUGAAGGAUGAGCCCGCGGCCUAUCAGCUUGUUGGUGGGGUAAUGGCCCACCAAGGCGACGACGGGUAGCCGGCCUGAGAGGGCGACCGGCCACACUGGGACUGAGACACGGCCCAGACUCCUACGGGAGGCAGCAGUGGGGAAUAUUGCACAAUGGGCGAAAGCCUGAUGCAGCGACGCCGCGUGAGGGAUGACGGCCUUCGGGUUGUAAACCUCUUUCAGCAGGGAAGAAGCGAAAGUGACGGUACCUGCAGAAGAAGCGCCGGCUAACUACGUGCCAGCAGCCGCGGUAAUACGUAGGGCGCAAGCGUUGUCCGGAAUUAUUGGGCGUAAAGAGCUCGUAGGCGGCUUGUCACGUCGGAUGUGAAAGCCCGAGGCUUAACCUCGGGUCUGCAUUCGAUACGGGCUAGCUAGAGUG